AGAGUUUGAUCCUGGCUCAGGAUGAACGCUAGCGGCAGGCUUAACGCAUGCAAGUCGAGGGGCAUCGCGGUUCCGGCAACGGGACCGGCGGCGACCGGCAUACGGGUGCGUAACGCGUGAGCGACAUUCCCGGGACCGGGGUAUAACCGACGGAAACGUCGCCUAAUCCCCCGUAACACCAUCGGGCGCAUGCCCUUUGGUUGAAAGCUCCGGCGGUCCCGGAUUGGCUCGCGUCCCAUUAGGCGGAUGGCGGGGUAACGGCCCACCAUACCUACGAUGGGUAGGGGUUCUGAGAGGAAGGUCCCCCACAAUGGAACUGAGACACGGUCCAUACUCCUACGGGAGGCAGCAGUGAGGAAUAUUGGUCAAUGGGCGGAAGCCUGAACCAGCCAUGCCGCGUGCGGGACGACGGCCCUACGGGUUGUAAACCGCUUUUGCAGGGGAGCAAUAAGGGGGUUUCGCACCCCCGACUAGCGUACCCUGCGAAUCAGCACCGGCUAACUCCGUGCCAGCAGCCGCGGUAAUACGGAGGGUGCGAGCGUUAUCCGGAUUUAUUGGGUUUAAAGGGUGCGUAGGCUGUGCGUCAAGUCAGGGGUGAAAUUCCGUCGCUCAACGUCGGGUGUGCCCUUGAUACUGGCGUGCUGGAGUACGGAUGCCGCCGGAGGAAUGAGUGGUGUAGCGGUGAAAUGCAUAGAUAUCACUCAGAACACCGAUAGCGAAGGCAUCUGG
rnacentral:rRNA from 1 species